GUAUGAUCGGUUCGCCGGCGUAAGACCAACAUUAGUUGGCUAAAUGUAGAGUUUGGCCAGCAUUCAUUUGUUGGUCAACACCUCUCUCUCUUUUUUAUAAACUCCUGUUUUCUUUGAAAUCAGUCUGAACAUAUGUUUAUUAUUUAAACGUUA
rnacentral:misc_RNA from 1 species